GAUGAACGCUAGCGAUAGGCUUAACACAUGCAAGUCGAGGGGCAGCAUGGUCUUAGCUUGCUAAGACUGAUGGCGACCGGCGCACGGGUGCGUAACGCGUAUGCAACUUGCCUCACAGAGGGGGAUAACCCGUCGAAAGACGGACUAAUACCGCGUACACUUGGGAUAGGGCAUCCUGACCCAAGGAAAUGAAAUUCGCUGUGAGAUAGGCAUGCGUCCCAUUAGCUAGUUGGUGAGGUAACGGCUCACCAAGGCGACGAUGGGUAGGGGAACUGAGAGGUUGAACCCCCACACUGGUACUGAGACACGGACCAGACUCCGACGGGAGGCAGCAGUGAGGAAUAUUGGUCAAUGGGCGAGAGCCUGAACCAGCCAAGUCGCGUGAAGGAUGACUGUCUUAUGGAUUGUAAACUUCUUUUAUACGGGAAUAACAAGAGCCACGUGUGGCUCCCUGCAUGUACCGUAUGAAUAAGCAUCGGCUAACUCCGUG
rnacentral:rRNA from 1 species